AUAGGUGUGUACGCUGCAGUGCAUUCAAUAUAAGAUCCAUGUCCCCGGCCCCGGAGCUUUCAUUAUACGCAUUAUACUUUUAUAAUGUUUAACUAUUUUUAUGUGAUUUUGAAAUCGAAGUUUUUCACGGUUCCUAAAUUUAUGUUCUCAAUACAUGGUAAGUACACGCAUUCGCAAAGUUCAUAAUAUGUUAGUAGGCCUCCAGUUUGAGAGUCACCGGAUUCGAGUCUCCUACAGGAUAAUUAUUAGGAUACUUGCUGUCGGUUUUCCAGAUUAAAUAACAAGUGAAUUUUGUUAUUUCAAUAGUUCCACCUCCCGUGACCGGUUUGUUUAUUAUCCGUAAAAUUUAUCAGUGAACAAAUGACAUUUUUAACUGUAUCAUCCGCUCGUUAUUUUUAUCAUAAUAUAUUGUAUACCUACAUGCUACUGGGCUACUGGGGUGCCUGGAGGAAGG